rnacentral:tRNA from 1 species
GUACAAGUAGUUUAAAAAAAAACACUACAUUUUCAUUGUAUUAAUAGGAGAAACCUCUUGUAUU